UAGUUGUCUGUACAAAAGAAUAAACAGUUAGACUGGUCCGAAAUAGAAACUCAUGUUUCACACUUUCACAAGAUAGCAGGCCACUUAUAAGUGGACAUGUACCGAUGCUGUUGAGGUAGUUUUGGCAAAUCUAAAAAUCUUGCUUCAGAAGAUUGCUGGAGGUCUCUUGUUACCAAGAAAAAACAACAGGUGGUUGGCUGAUAAUGCAAAUAAUCGGUGAAAGCCAGCGCAAAUAUGAAGACUUGUACCAGGGACUGAAGUCUGGAAACCUGGAUCUAGAAUGGCUGAUAAGACGGCUUGGCUUGUUUAGUAUCAGGACUAAACAGUCGCAACAUAAACAACAAGAUC